rnacentral:tRNA from 1 species
GGUUCCAUGGUCUAGUGGUCAGGACAUUGGACUCUGAAUCCAAUAACCCGAGUUCAAAUCUCGGUGGAACCU